GAUGAUUUCCUUGAAAUAAUGGAGGAGUUGGGGCAGAACAACGGCGGAGACUCGGCUAUUCCUACCGUCAGCAUCAUCUUUUCUGCAUCAGUUGCAAAACAACUAGUACUUGAAUUUGCAUUUGUUUUUCUUAUAGUAAUAUUUAUAUUUUCUUAUUUUGAAAAAUAACAAAAUAAAUAAAUUUGUGACAAACAAGUAUACUGGCGUGGGCAUCUUUUGAGCCCGAAAAGAGAAUAGGCAGCGAGGAGCAUAUCGUCGUGUAAUUUCAAAUUUUAAUCGGGGGUUGAUUUGUCAACAACGUAAAACUGAAACGACGUCGUUUGAGACACAAAAUGAGGAAAAUCGGCCAUUAAAUUCUCAAAAUGUGGCUGAUUCUUUACAAAAAUACAACCUUAAAAAGACGGUUGUACAAAAAGCAUUGGAUAAUCUUGCUGAUGGUAGAAAGAUUUCAUUCAAGGAGUACGGUAAACAGAAGAUAUACGUUGCUAGGCAAGACCAGUUUGACAAUGAGAAUAAUUAAGAGCUUAAUCAGAUGAAGGAACAGCAUGCCAAGCUGGUGGAACCGCUUGAGGAACAGAAGAAGGCAAUCACCAGGGUUAGGGGAGAAAUUAGGACUUUGCAGUCAAAUUUAACAUUGGAGCAAAUAUGCGAGAAAGAAGGCAAACUAAGAAAGGAGGUGUGUGGUACGGAUUGUUUGGUUUCGAUUUACAUUUACCUGUGAGGAAAAUGGGAAAAUGUUUGGAACCUACUGCAAUUCCCUAGGGCUUUGUUAGGUUUUCCUUGCAAUUUUCACCCAAACACAGCAAUAACACAAUCCAACCACAACCAAACACACAAGAUAGGAGGGAAUGGAGAAUAUAGAUCUGUUUUUAUUUAUAUUACUGGGCAGCACAACGAUUUAGACCUCACUGCUAGGAUCAGACUCCUCAACUACCCAAAACAGUUUACAAAAGGAUAAAUUCCAGAAAUUCGAAGAGCCAUAGACCUCCCCUUUCAGCCAACAGUUUCCCAAAAUCCACAACAAUAUUUUGUUCCCUGAAUUUUCUUCUUCCUACCCCUUGCUGCUCUUUUUCUUCUUUUAUAUUCUCUCUUUUCUACCUGCCUGCCCAUUUCUUGCCAUGUGUGUUUAGUGGUCCUCCUUCCGUUGGUGUGCCAUAUGUCCUCUCAAUUCUUGCUCCUGCCGGUGACAAAAACAUCAGUUCUAACAGAAAAGCGUAGGAUUGUUUUUGUUGGUCAGGUUAAGGUAAUGGAGGACAAACUGGCAAAAUUGCAUGGAGGACUGACACUGGUGAAGCCCGAGGAGAGGAAGGCAGUUGAGAAGAUGUAUUUGGAGAAAGUAAGUCAGUGGGGAAAGCGUAAAAGGAUGUUAGAAUAUAUAUGGGAUGCUAUAACUGAGAACUCAGCUAAGGACCUGAAGGAAUUUAAGAUUCUGUUUAUAUCAUUGGUUUCUUCAAACUAUCGGGUGUGCAUUGUGCAGAUUCUCUAAUAGUUGGUCAUGUUUUGCAAGAGGAGCCUGGAAUCGAAUAUGAUGAAGAUGUUAGUGUGAGUUUGUAGGCAUUUUCUGAUUUGGUGCAACAUGGUAAGAAGCGGGCAAGAGGCCACUGACGUAUUUGUAGUGUUACGUACUUAAUUGAGGAUUGGGCAUAUAUUUUUUUUGGUUUCUGUUAUUGUAGAUUCUGCAUAUUUGCCAGAUCUAGAUCUUUAAUUCUGAAAAUUAGUAUGUUUAUUAGUCACAAAUGUUAUGUAACAAACCUUUCUUUUGUAAAUGGUGAGCAUGAAAUGAAAGUUAUUAUAGUUGUUAA